rnacentral:lncRNA from 1 species
AUAACAAGUCUAACUGGCUCUGGAAAGCUGAAAGGGCUGCACUGGAACAACACAGAUGAGAUAUUCUACACAUUAAUCUACUUAUCUGGAAUCACUUUGCCUCUAAAGGCCAGAGAAAAAUCACAGCUUCCUUGUCGGAGGGGAAAAGGACAGGUGAUCUGGGGAAAACGCAGCUACACCUGGAGCAAGGUCUCUUCCCGGCUUGGCAAUCUCAGCUGUGCCGGCGCUACGGGACCCGAGCCGUCCCAGAAACCAAAGGGCAGGCACGGCAGCAAACGCCUGAGCCUGCCUUGUACUUCAUGCAGGUUGAACAGAAAUGUUUUCUGAGCAUGUAUUGUUACAGCCCUCUGAGAUGGUAUAAAAGAAUGAAAGAAGACACGACCUGCCUUCCAGGAGUUUCACAAAAAAGAUGGGAUGAACACAGUGUUCACUUCCACCUUCCACCCUUUCACUAUGAAGGACCCUCACCAGAUGGUGGCACCAUGCUCUCGGACUUCCCAGCCUCCAGAACUGGACGGGUAAAUUGAAGCAAAAAGCAGACAAGUUCUAUGGGAUUUGCUGGCAUUGAUUUCCCAGGAUGGCAAAGUGCUAAGAACUAAACCUUUAAAGCUAACAAAAUGUACUGAUGUCUUUGCAAAGUAUCCAAGACCAACAAGAAAGUAAUUUCCCACCUCACCCUACCACCACCCAGAAAAGGAGCACAGAGAUGGGGAAGAGAGUGGCUGCAUCUGGCAUCCAGCCAGAGGAGUCCGUGCAGGGAUUCUGGAUCCCUCUUCCCCCACCCCACUGCCCUUCCCCCUCCACCCCAGCGUUUUGGAGAAGCAAGAAACUGUGAUGAUGCAGCUCCCUCAAGUAUCACAUGAAGAUAGUGGAAAGAGCCUCCUGAGGUAAAUAUGCCAUGUAGACAGAAACAAGCAAUGGCUCAACAGCAAUGUAUGAGGUCCAAGGACCAGGACCAAAGGGAAAAACAGCCAUCUCACCAGACACCUGCCUACGACCAGAUGCGUCAUCUCCAAUAUUAGCUAACUCCCUGGAACCUGGACUCAAGGUGUGAAAUAAAGGUUAAUGGGAAACCGCAGGAGUCAAAAGGAGGGGGCAGGAUUAUUGAGGAUUCAGGCUGUUGAGAAAUGAAAGUUUGGAUCACUCCCCAGAUAAAGAACCUUGACCAUUUAAGGGCAAUGGAAAUACAGAAUAGGCAGUAGAAGAAGGAAGCCAUAGAUACCAACUAUGGCCUCUCAAUCAAUUACAAAACUGAGAAUUCUGACAGUUUUGUGUAUUUCCUCUUUGCAUGUGAUGUAUAUGUGUGUAUUUGUAUAUAUUAACCAUUUUCCUUUUUCUCUCUUCAUUAUUUUAUGAAAGUUGUUGAAUAUAAACUCUACAAUUUAGCCUUUAGGUAAGAGAAUAUUCAGUGGGACUUUGAUUUGAGGAGUAUUUAAGACAGCCAGAUGAGACUACGAUAACUGUUGGAACUGUGUGUCUCCUCAUUUGGGGAAAGGGGUGAGAACUCUGCAUUUCUCUGAAGAACAGAGUUGACUUUGUGUUAUACAGAGUUCAAAUAUAUAUAUAAAAUGGUGCAUGUGGAAGCUAAGAAGCCAAAGGAGUUCACCAAGACAGUUAUCAAUAUAUUGCCUCUCCGCUCCAAAUCCACCCUUCUUUGCCCUGUUCCACGAUACUAAUCUGGCUCCUCGGUCAGCCAGUGCAAUGUCAUCUGUUGCUGGUAGAGUGUAGGGGAGACACUACAAGGUAUAGUAAAGGGGUCAGAUGCGGUGUCUCAUGCCUGUAAUCACAGCCCUUUGGGAGGCAGAGGCAGGAGGAUCACCUGAGGCCAGGAGUUUGAGACCAGCCUGGACAACAUGGUAAAACCCCAUCUCUACUGAAAAUACAAAAUUAGCACGCACCUGUAAUCCCAGCUACUCGGGAGGCUGAGGCAGGAGAAUCACUUGAACCUGGGAGGUGGAGGUUGCAGUGAGCCAAGAUCGCAUCAUUGCACUCCAGCCAGGGAAAAAAGGCAAAACUCUGUCUCAAAAAAAUAAAUAAAUAAAAUAAAAUAAAACAAGGUAUAGCAAAU